rnacentral:rRNA from 1 species
GACGAACGCUGGCGGCGUGCUUAACACAUGCAAGUCGAACGGUGAAGGGACUGGUUUUGCUGGUCCUGGAUGAGUGGCGAACGGGUGAGUAACACGUGAGUAACCUGCCCCCUUCUUCUGGAUAACCGCAUGAAAGUGUGGCUAAUACGGGAUAUUCUGGGUCUGUCGCAUGGUGGGCCUGGGAAAGAUUGCGCCUUUUUUGGUGUUUUUGGUGGGGGAUGGGCUCGCGGCCUAUCAGCUUGUUGGUGGGGUGAUGGCCUACCAAGGCGGUGACGGGUAGCCGGCCUGAGAGGGUGGACGGUCACACUGGGACUGAGACACGGCCCAGACUCCUACGGGAGGCAGCAGUGGGGAAUAUUGCACAAUGGGCGCAAGCCUGAUGCAGCGACGCCGCGUGAGGGAUGGAGGCCUUCGGGUUGGGAACCUCUUUCGCCAGUGAAGCAGGCCUGCCUCUUUUUGUGGGUGGGUUGACGGUAGCUGGAUAAGAAGCGCCGGCUAACUACGUG